CAAGGGGAGUGGCAGACGGGUGAGUAACGCGUGGGAACAUACCCUUUCCUGCGGAAUAGCUCCGGGAAACUGGAAUUAAUACCGCAUACGCCCUACGGGGGAAAGAUUUAUCGGGGAAGGAUUGGCCCGCGUUGGAUUAGCUAGUUGGUGGGGUAAAGGAAUACCAAGGCGACGAUCCAUCUGGUCUGAGAGGAUGAUCAGCCACAUUGGGACUGAGACACGGCCCAAACUCCUACGGGAGGCAGCAGUGGGGAAUAUUGGACAAUGGGCGCAAGCCUGAUCCAGCCAUGCCGCGUGAGUGAUGAAUGGCCUUAGGGUUGUAAAGCUCUUUCACCGGAGAAGAUAAUGACGGUAUCCGGAGAAGAAGCCCCGGCUAACUUCGUGCCAGCAGCCGCGGUAAUACGAAGGGGGCUAGCGUUGUUCGGAAUUA
rnacentral:rRNA from 1 species